CAUUCAAUCAAAAUUUCAAAAGAAUUAUAUAAAAAAUACUAAGUAUUCCUAGAGAUCCUUUAAAGAAACAUAAAAAAUAAUAUAAAAAUUUAAAAAUAUAUUAAAAUAGAAAUCUUAAUAAAAUAUUAAAAUAAAAAACUUAAUUAAAUCUUAAUCAAAAUUUAAUCUAAUUCUAAUCAAAUUUUAUCUUAAUCCUAAUCAAACUCUAAAUAAAUCCUAAUCAAAUCCUAAAAAAAUCCUAAUCAAAUCCUAAUUGAUUUCUAAACAAACCUUAUCUAAACUCUAGUCAAAUCCUAAAUAAACCCAAACCAAAUCCUAAAUAAUCCCAAGUAAUUCAUAUAGUAGAUUUAAACCUCAACAACUAAUGAAUGAACAGUUGAUUUUAACUCAAAUUUUUUAUACCUCUUCAUAAUUAAGUUGACAACAAGCAAAGUUUUUUGAAGAAGAUCAAAUUCACCAAAAAAAAGAUCAAUCCUAAAAUCUACUUGGAUGUUGGACUAUCUUCUUCUCUAAUUUGAAUGUUGAAUUUUCAAGAUCAAUAUCUCUUUAUUGAACCAUUUAAUUGAUCUCA
rnacentral:lncRNA from 1 species